rnacentral:lncRNA from 1 species
UGUAGUGGUGGGAGGUGACAUACUGGUUUUGUGGGUGGGACUUGUGGGGGUAUGGGUGGGGCUUGUGGAAGUAUGAGUGGGGCUUGCUGUGGUAUGGGUAGGGCUUGGCAUAGUGUGGGUGGGGCUUGUGGUAGUCUGGACUGGGCCUAUGAUAUUGAGGGUAGGGCCUGUAGUAGUAAGGGUAGAGAUUAUGGGCUUGUGGGUGGAGCCUGUAGUAGUUGGUGUGAGUGGGGCCUGGCAGUUCUGAAGGGCCAGAGUCUGUGGACUUAUGAACUGAGUCUAGGUGUGCAGAUGGGGCAGGGUCUGUAGAUGUGGGGACAGAGCCUGUUGUACCGAGGGUAGAGCUUGUGGCAGAGUGGCCAGGGUCCAGGGCAGGAGGAACAGGACUGGGGUGCUCUCCAUGGGUGGGAGCUGGGUGUGUAGGUGGGCUAGGUCCCCAGGCUAGGCUUUCUGGGCCAACGGCCUCCACUGAAGCCUCAGCCAAGGCAGCAUCUACACUAGCCUCACUGAUGUGGCUCAGAGUCCGACUGUAGGGUGCAUGCCCAUUUGCCAGGACUGGGGCCACGGCCCCCUCCUCA